GCUGUAGUCCUGCUAACAUGGGUUUAAAUCCAGUUUCUACC
rnacentral:tRNA from 1 species